rnacentral:rRNA from 1 species
GACGAACGCUGGCGGCGUGCCUAACACAUGCAAGUCGAACGAGAACGUCGGGCCUAGUGGCGCACGGGUGCGUAACGCGUGGGAACCUGCACUUAGGUUCGGAAUAACUGCCCGAAAGGGGUGCUAAUACCGGUUAAUGUCUUCGGACCAAAGAUUUAUCGCCUUUGGUUGGGCCCGGGUUGGAUUCGCCAGUUGGUAGGGUAAAAGCCUCCCAUGGCGAUGAUCCAUAGCUGGUCGGAGAGGAUGAUCAGCCAGACUGGGACAGGGACACGGCCCAUACGGCUACGAGAGGCGGCAGUGGGGAAAAAUGGACAGGGAGCGAAAGCCUGAACCACCACGUCCGCGAGAGUGAUGAAGGCCUUAGAGUUGUAAAGCGCUUUUACCCGGGAGGAUAAUGACAGUACCGGGAGAAUAAGCCCCGGCUAACUCCUU